rnacentral:rRNA from 1 species
GAUGAACGCUGGCGGCGUGCCUAAUACAUGCAAGUCGAGCGGAGCGAGGACGGGUGAGUCACACGUGGCUAACCUCCGUUGAGACUGGGAUCACGUCGGGAACCCUGAGCUAGACCGGUUCCUUAUACGUGUUUCCUGGCUGCAUUGGCUAGUUGGUAAGGUAACGGCUUACCAAGGCAACGAUGCAUAGCCGACCUGAGAGGGUGAUCGGCCACACUGGAACUGAGACACGGUCCAGACUCCUACGGGAGGCAGCAGUAGGGAAUCUUCGGCAAUGGGCGAAAGCCUGACGGAGCAACGCCGCGUGAGUGAUGAAGGUCUUCGGAUCGUAAAACUCUUUUAGUAGGGAAGCGGUACCUAAACAGAAAGCAACGGCUAACUACGUGCCAGCAGCCGCGGUAAUAC